rnacentral:rRNA from 1 species
UACGAAGGGGGCUAGCGUUGUUCGGAAUUACUGGGCGUAAAGCGCACGUAGGCGGGUUUGUAAGUAGAGGGUGAAAUCCCAGGGCUCAACCCUGGAACUGCCUUCUAGACUGCAAGCCUGGAGGUCAGGAGAGGCGAGUGGAAUACCGAGUGUAGAGGUGAAAUUCGUAGAUAUUCGGGUGGAACACCAGUGGCGAAGGCGACUCGCUGGACUGAUACUGACGCUGGAGGUGCGAAAGCGUGGGGAGCA